rnacentral:rRNA from 1 species
CCCUUAGACGUUCUGGACCGCACGCGCGCUACACUGACCAGUGCAACAAGCAUCCGUCCUUGGCCGACAGGCUCGGGCAAUCUUUGAACGCUGGUCGUGAUGGGGAUAGACUUUUGCAAUUUUUGGUCUUCAACGAGGAAUUCCUAGUAAACGCAAGUCAUCAACUUGCAUUGAUUACGUCCCUGCCCUUUGUACACACCGCCCGUCGCACCUACCGAUUGAAUGGUCCGGUGAAAUCUCGGGACGGCGGCUUGGUCGCUUGCGUCCGACUGCUGAAACUUGAUUAAACCAUAUCAUUUAGAGGAAGGUGAAGUCGUAACA